CAGAGAAUAGUUUUAAAUAAAAUUUUAAUUUUGGAGAUUAAAGAUAGAUGUAUAUUCUUUCUCUGA
rnacentral:tRNA from 1 species